rnacentral:rRNA from 1 species
CCCUUAGAUGUUCUGGGCCGCACGCGCGCUACACUGACAGAGCCAACGAGUUCUUUGCCUUGGCCGGAAGGUCUGGGUAAUCUUGUUAAACUCUGUCGUGCUGGGGAUAGAGCAUUGCAAUUAUUGCUCUUCAACGAGGAAUGCCUAGUAAGCGCGUGUCAUCAGCAUGCGUUGAUUACGUCCCCGCCCUUUGUACACACCGCCCGUCGCUACUACCGAUUGAAUGGCUCAGUGAGGCCUUCGGACUGGCUCGGGGAGGUUGGCAACGACCACCCCAAGCCGGAAAGUUCGUCAAACUCGGUCAUUUAGAGGAAGUAAAAGUCGUAACA